rnacentral:rRNA from 1 species
AUUGAACGCUGGCGGCAGGCCUAACACAUGCAAGUCGAGCGAGCGGCGGACGGGUGAGUAAUGUCUGGGAAACUGCCUGAGGGAGGGGGAUAACUACUGGAAACGGUAUGUAAUACCGCAUACCAUCAGAUGUGCCCAGAUGGGAUUAGCUAGUAGGUGGGGUAACGGCUCACCUAGGCGACGAUCCCUAGCUGGUCUGAGAGGAUGACCAGCCAAACUGGGACUGAGACACGGCCCAGACUCCUACGGGAGGCAGCAGGGGGGAAUAUUGCACAAUGGGCGCAAGCCUGAUGCAGCCAUGCCGCGUGUGUGAAGAAGGCCUUCGGGUUGUAAAGCACUUUCAGCGGGGAGGCGUUACCCGCAGAAGAAGCACCGGCUAACUCCGUGCCAGCAGCCGCGGUAAUUC